GGAUGAACGCUGGCGGCGUGCCUAAUACAUGCAAGUCGAGCGAACAGACGAGGAGCUUGCUCCUCUGACGUUAGCGGCGGACGGGUGAGUAACACGUGGAUAACCUACCUAUAAGACUGGGAUAACUUCGGGAAACCGGAGCUAAUACCGGAUAAUAUAUUGAACCGCAUGGUUCAAUAGUGAAAGACGGUUUUGCUGUCACUUAUAGAUGGAUCCGCGCCGCAUUAGCUAGUUGGUAAGGUAACGGCUUACCAAGGCAACGAUGCGUAGCCGACCUGAGGGGGUGAUCCGCCCACACGGAACUUAGACCCGGUCCCGGCUCCCACGGGAGGCAGCCGGAGGGAAUCUUCCCGCAUGGGCCAAAGCCCUACGGAGCCACCCCGGGGGAGUUAUGAAGGUCUUCCGAUCCUAAAACCCUGUUAUUAGGGAAGAACAAAUGUGUAAGUAACUAUGCACGUCUUGACGGUACCUAAUCAGAAAGCCACGGCUAACUACGUG
rnacentral:rRNA from 1 species